UAACAUUGUUUACAGUGACGGUAUGCC
rnacentral:piRNA from 1 species